AUACCGGCAGCUCAAGUGGUAGCCGCUUUUAUUGGGCCUAAAGCGUCCGUAGCCGGUCUGAUAAGUCUCUGGUGAAAUCCCACAGCUUAACUGUGGGAAUUGCUGGAGAUACUAUCAUGACUCGAGGUCGGGAGAGGCUGGAGGUACUCCCAGGGUAGGGGUGAAAUCCUGUAAUCCUGGGAGGACCACCUGUGGCGAAGGCGUCCAGCUGGAACGAACCUGACGGUGAGGGACGAAAGCCAGGGGCGCGAACCGGAUUAGAUUCCCGGGUAGUCCUAGCCGUAAACGAUGCGGACUUGGUGUUGGGAUGGCUUUGAGCCGCUCCGGUGCCGAAGGGAAGCUGUUAAGUCCGCCGCCUGGGAAGUACGGUCGCAAGACUGAAACUUAAAUGAAUUGGCGGGG
rnacentral:rRNA from 1 species